rnacentral:rRNA from 1 species
UACAGAGGGGGCAAGCGUUGUUCGGAAUUACUGGGCGUAAAGGGCGCGUAGGCGGCCUGUUAAGUCGAACGUGAAAUCCCCGGGCUCAACCCGGGAACUGCGUCCGAUACUGGCAGGCUUGAAUCCGGGAGAGGGAUGCGGAAUUCCAGGUGUAGCGGUGAAAUGCGUAGAUAUCUGGAAGAACACCGGUGGCGAAGGCGGCAUCCUGGACCGGCAUUGACGCUGAGGCGCGAAAGCCAGGGGAGCAAACGGG